GCCAUUUCUUGGGCCGCUCCCGCGGCAUAUGGAGGUUCCCAGGCUUGGGGUCGAAUCGGAGCUGUAGCUGCCGGCCUAUGCCAGAGCCACAGCAAUGCGGGAUCUGAGCCGAGUCUGCAGCCUACACCACAGUUCACGGCAAUGCUGGAUCCUUAAUCCACUGAGCAAGGCCAGGGAUCGAACCUGCAACCCCAUGGUUCCUAGUCGGAUUCGUUAACCACCGCACAUGACGGGAACUCCUGCGUCCACGUUUUAAGAAUGAUUCCCUGACUCAAAUCUCUAGAACACUCGUCUCCUAAAUUACACCCCAUGUAUUCAUAUUCAAACCUCCACUAAUAGCUAAGACAGGCAACUAAGCAUCCACGUGCCCAAACCAGAACCCACAGUGUAGCCAACAUCCUCCCGAAUUCCUCAGUGUGACAGACCUUCCCCCCAUGUACACAGCCAGAAACCAUCUCUAAUCAUCUUUAUCCCUCUUAUUCCUCAUGGGCAAUCACCACACUGAAUUACAUUUUACUUUUUCACAACUCUUUCCUCCAGGUCGACCACUGCUAUGUUCCAUCAAAACCUUUCUCCUAGAGGGUUGUUACAAUAGAAACCUCACUGAUUCACAGCCUCAAGUCCCAAGUUCCAUUCACUGACCUUCUAAAGACCCAUCAGAUUAUUAUUUUUAACCCCCAAACCUGCUUCUGUCCUUCUUUCCAUUCUUACGUGAUUACUCCUCUCUACAGGAAAGAAUUUUCACGUGCUAGUGGAAUAUGAAUUGCAUCUAUGUUGGGGACCGGAGACUUAUAAUACAGAUGCUGGGUCUCCCACAAGGAAGUCAGUUUUAUAUUCCCUCCGGGUGAUUCUGGUUGGAUGGCAUGAGAUCAACCUGUAACAAACAACAGACUACAAGAUACAGAGCUCCUUUCAAGGAUAUACAACAUGCUUGCAGAUCAAGCCAGCACUUGAUAGCCUUGACAAGCCCAGGUCCCAUUUUCCAUAAUACUUCAUCUGGAAAUAAAAAUUAGUAUAGCCUACCUGCAUCAUCAUUUCCAAAAGCAAAGCACUAUAGUGUCCUAAGUAUAGUAUGGUGGAAGAAAAAAAAGGAAUGUACUUUAAAAUAAUUUCUUAUUUACAUAUUUGUGCAAAACCAGACUGGGAAAUAUCAUGAAGCAGAUAGGUGCUCACGUCCAUACAUAGAAUCACCAUGAACACAACAGCUACAAACAGAUCAACAGUGCUUCUACUGGUAAGUGUGUUAUUUAGUAAAGGUCCAUGUAAAACAAUGUGAAGCUGAGUCAAGGCAUAACUCUCCCAGACUUCAGGCAAUAUUACAAAGUGACAGUAAUCAAGACAGUGUGGUACUGGCAGCAAAACAGACAGACCCACCAAUGGAACAGAACAGAGAACCCAGAAAUAAACCCAGACACCCACAGUCAAUUAACCUUCAACAAAGGAAGCAAGAAAAUAAAAUGGGACAAAGAGUCUUUUCAGCAAGUGGUGCUGGGAAAAUUGGACAGCUGCAUCUAAAUCAGUGAAACUGGAACAUGCCCUCACACCAUGCACAAAAAUAAACUCAAAAUGACUCAAAGACUUAAACCUAAGACAAGACACCAUCAGACUCCUAGAAGAGAACAUAGGCAAAACCUCCUGACAUCAACCUUACAAACGUUUUCUUAGGUCAGUCUCCCAAGGCAAUAGAAAUAAAAGCAAAAAUAAAACCAAUAGGACCUAAUCAAAGUAGCAAGCUUUGCACAGCAAAGGAAACCAUUAAAAAAAAAAAAAAAGACAACCUACAGAAUGGGAGAAAAUAGUUUCAAACGAUGCAGCUGACAAGGGCUUAAUCUCUAAAAUAUACAAGCAACUUAUACAACUCAACAGCAAAAAAAAACAACCACCCAAUUGAACCAAUGGGCAAACGACCUGAAUAGACAUUUCACCAAAGAAGAUAUAGAGGUGGCCAACAGGCACAUAAAAAAAUGCUCUACAUCACUGAUUAUUAGAGAAAUGCACAUCAAAACUACUAUGAGAUACCACCUCACACCAAUCACAAUGGCCAUCAUUAACAAGUCAAGAAAUAACAAAUGCUAGAGAGGGUAUGGAGAAAAGAGAACCCUCCUACACUGCUGGUGGGAAUGUAAAUUGAUACAACCACCAUGGAAAACAGUAUGGUGGUAUCUCAGAAAAGUAAAUAUAGAACUACCAUAUGAUCCAGCAAUCUCACUCUUGGGCAUUUAUCCGGAAAAAAGCUUCCCUUGGAAAAGGACACAUGCACCUGCAUGUUCACUGCAGCACUAUUCACAAUAGCCAAGAUAUAGAAACCACCUAAAUGUCCAUCAACAGAUGAUUGGAUUAAGAUGUGGUAUAUAUACAAAAUGGAGUACUACUCAGCCAUAGAAAAGAACAAAAUAAUGCCAUUUUUAGCAACACGGAACUGGAGACUCUCAUACUAAGUGAAGUUAAGUCAGAAAGAGACAAACAGCAUAUGAUAUCACCUAUAUCUGGAAUCUAAUAUAUGACACAAAUGAACCUUUCCACAGAAAAACUCAUGGACUUGGAAAGCAGACUUGUGGUUGUGGGGGGGUGGGGGAAGGGAUUGGGAUGGACUGGGUUUAACAGAUGCAAACUAUUGCCUUUGGAAAGGAUAAGCAAUGAGAUCCUGCUGUAUAGCACUGGGAACUGUAUCUAGUCUCGUGAUGGAGCAUGAUGGAGGAUAAUGUAAGGAAAAGAAUGCAUAUAUAUGUGGGAUGGGGGUUGUGUGUGACUGGAUCACUUUGCUGUAUAGUAGAAAAUUGACAGAACACUGUAAAGCAACUAUAAUGGAAAAAAUAAAAAUCAUUUAACUAGUUUUAAAAAAGAAAUAGAACUAUUACAUUGGCAUCAGAAAGAAAGAAAAAGAAAGAAAGAAAGAAAGAAAGAAAGAAAGAAAGAAAGAAAGAAAGAAAGAAAGGAAGAAAGAAAGAAAGAGAAAGCAAAGGAAUCUGUGCAGGACAGCCUAUGUGUUGCAGGGUACCAGCAUCCUGGGCUCUACUCACUAAAUGCUAGCAGGGUUCCCCCGAUCAGUGAGGACCAAAAAAAGCACCAUACCAGUUUCCAAGACACCUCCUAGAGUGAAGAGCCCCUACCCCACAAUCUAGCAUCCACUCCAUCACUCCACAUAAGUAAUUAAAGUGACCAUGAUUUUUAGGUCUCAAAUCCUGUAGAUACUUGUCUUUUCUCAUCCUCUGUCUGCAGUUGGUCUCAACAUGCUCUUCCCUUGACUGUUAGCGUAACAAACUCCCCCAAUUUUCUUACCUUCCUUUCACUCCUUAUUCUUAGUAUCCUUUAGGAGCUCAUCCCCUCCCCUACCUGGCCAUGAAAUAUUGCGAGUCGGUGACACCCACCCAGAGGCCUCCUUCCUUCCUCCAUCUCUGCUCUUUCUCUAGUCUCUUCCCCAUCGUUUCAAUCACCAUCUAUAUACCUCCAACCGUCUCAAGUUUGUAAUAUCCCAAGCAGACCUCUGUUCCCAACUCCAAAGCUAUCAAUGCAACUACCCAGUAACAUCACUUUACAGUAUGUCCAAGGAGUUUAGCCAAACUGUCUCAUCACCUGCCAGCCACACGGCAGCCACCUCAGUUCCCCCUCAAAGCUUGGCCCUCUCCUCCUCGCUGGGUAAAUGGACCAGCAUCAGUCUAGGUAUCCACAUUGGAUACCUUGGGACUCUGUCCCAUGUGCAAUCCAUCCACAAAAUUCUAUGGACUUUCUCAGCUUGUUCACCAGUACUACUCCCGGGACCUAGCACAGCACGUGACACAAAUAAGUGUGCAAUAAAUAUAUAUGAAAUGAACAAGCGAGCGGCCUACUUGUGGACAUCUCCCUUCUUCCCCCCAAACCAUUUUCCCU
rnacentral:lncRNA from 1 species